UACGUAGGGUGCAAGCGUUAUCCGGAAUUAUUGGGCGUAAAGGGCGCGUAGGCGGUUUGACAAGUCUGAUGUGAAAUCUCUGGGCUCAACCCAGAGUCUGCAUUAGAAACUGUCGGGCUUGAGUAUGGGAGAGGUGAGUGGAAUUUCCGGUGUAGCGGUGAAAUGCGUAGAUAUCGGAAGGAACACCUGUGGCGAAAGCGGCUCACUGGACCAUAACUGACGCUGAGGCGCGAAAGCUAGGGGAGCAAACAGG
rnacentral:rRNA from 1 species